UACGAACCGUCCAAACGUUACUCGGAAUCACUGGGCGUAAAGGGUGCGUAGGCGGGUCUUUAAGGCAGGGGUGAAAUCCUGGAGCUCAACUCCAGAACUGCCUUUGAUACUGAGGAUCUUGAGUUCGGGAGAGGUGAGUGGAACUGCGAGUGUAGAGGUGAAAUUCGUAGAUAUUCGGAAGAACACCAGUGGCGAAGGCGGCUCACUGGACAUGUAUUGACGCUGAGGUGCGAAAGCGUGGGGAGCAAACAGG
rnacentral:rRNA from 1 species